CCAAUAGCGUAUAUUAAAGUUGUUGCAGUUAAAAAGCUCGUAGGUGAAUUUCGGGGUUAGUCGGUUGGUCAUGCCUCUGGUAUGUACUGGUCUCACUGAUUCCUCCUUCCUGAUGAGCCGUAAUGCCAUUAAUUUGGUGUUGCGGGGAAUUUGGACUGUUACUUUGAAAAAAUUAGAGUGUUUAAAGCAAGCUAACGCUUGAAUACAUUAGCAUGGAAUCAUGAAAUAGGACGUUCGAUCCUAUUUUGUUGGUUUCUAGGAUUGACGUAAUGAUUAAUAGGGAUAGUUGGGGGCAUUAGUAUUCAAUGGUCAGAGGUGAAAUUCUUGGAUGUAUUGAAGACUAACUACUGCGAAAGCAUUUGCCAAGGAUGUUUUCAUUAAUCAAGAACGAAAGUUAGGGGAUCGAAGACGAUCAGAUACCGUCGUAGUCUUAACCAUAAACUAUGCCGACUAGGGAUCGGAUGAUGUUAAUUUUUUAAUGACUCAUUCGGCGCCUUACGGGAAACCAAAGUGUUGGGUUC
rnacentral:rRNA from 1 species